UACAGAGACUGCAAGCGUUAUUCGGAUUCACUGGGCGUAAAGGGUGCGCAGGCGGCCAAGUGUGUGAGGUGUGAAAGCCCGGGGCUCGACCCCGGAAUUGCCUUUAAGACUGCAUCGCUUGAAUUGUGGAGAGGUGAGUGGAAUUCCGAGUGUAGAGGUGAAAUUCGUAGAUAUUCGGAAGAACACCAGUGGCGAAGGCGACUCACUGGACACAUAUUGACGCUGAGGUGCGAAAGCGUGGGGAGCAAACAGG
rnacentral:rRNA from 1 species